GUGGUAAAAUGUGCACGGUUUUUAUCUGUGUCUGAUAGCCACGUCUGCCUGUGCUUUGCAUUCAGAUCUUGUCAUCCACACAAACACCAUGCAGCCGAAGAGUAAGUUAUGGUCAUAGUACUGGCUUCAUGCUGGCUGGUUGGACAUAUUCACCACAGGCCAGCCUCCAAAUCCUCAUACAUAG
ensembl:snoRNA